UUACAGACAUGACAAAUUCGCGAAUUUACGGAUCGAUCGCGAUUGGGAUUGAUAUGCCUAAUAAUUAUAUUCUGAAAUUUUUAUCGAUCGCGAAGUAAUUAAUGAUAUAGUGUUUCAUUAUCCUAAGUAUUUAUUAUCGCGAGUAUUCCACUCUCUUUGAGAACACCACUGCAAUCUCGAUUUCAUAGAUCAACAUCGACCAAAAUCAAACCGUUAUACCAUCGAGAAAGAGGUCAACACACUUGUGACAUUGUUGUGCAUUGUAUCGCACACUCCGCCGCGGAAUUGAGAAUU